GUCAAGACUGAGAAUGCCACUUCACUUUGCAUUCGAACCUAUAACAACAUUUAUUUACUUAGAUUGUCAAGUUUCAAUGUAGUGAUAAGCAUUUCUUCUAGAUAAAAUUUAAAUUUAUAAUUAGUAUGUAAUGUUGGCGAAGUGAAGUUGUCAAUUUUUCAAUGAAAUCAAAAUACCUGAUUCAGCUCUGCUGUUUUCGUACAUUGGUUGCAGCUAUACUUUGGAGCCAUACCCAUCCCUUCAGGAAAGAAGCAGCUAAGUUACCAUCUUAGAAGACUUAAAGUCGUACUAUUACAGCUCUUAUUUGCACUGCCGGAGGUUGUGCUAUUCGAAGGCAGUACGUACAGUCUGGAUGUGGUUUGGCAUAAUGGAGCUCCUGGGAUUCUAUCUAUGAGAAAGACCUUGCUGCGCCUUCGGCUUCUAAUUCGAUUAUCACAGCAGAGUCAAGAGAUACAGUUUUAUUCAUUAGAUAAUUAUCGAGAUUGGUAUGACUAUGUUCAACUUGAAUAUCCUUCAACAUGGAGGAAGUAUCGUCACAACGUUGCGUCUCUGAUAUCACAUUUUCGAAGCUUAUGUCGAGCUUUGUGAUGGAUUCCAUGUUCAAUAUUUGUCUGGUGUCACAAUCUGGUAUUUCAAGGUCAAAUUUGGAUCUUGAAAUUUUUCCAAUUAACUUUGGACUCAGAUCCUUAAAAUGCAACGGGUCAGUCGAAUUUUGGGAAUUACACAUCACCGCUUCAGGGGUCCUUAGAUUUGGAUCUGGUGUAUCAUGAUCUACUCCCAAACUUUGGUCAAGAUAGUCAAUUUCAAUAUUUUCAUUUGAUUUAUCCAGUGUAAGACAAGAAUCUUGGAGAAUUUGCUUUUGGCGAGCUCGACGGUGGUUCUUACGCCUCGUCAUUUUUGCGGCUUGUCAAUAGUUUGUUCUUAAAACGAAUGGAUCCAAUUUUCCAGGAAUUGUUACUAAAAAAUAGUGACGCUUCAAAUAACCGAAAGAUGCAAAAGCUUCAAAAUAAGGAUAGUGUGGUUUAUUUUUCUAAGGUGAUAGUUUAAAUUUUUUUAACUUCUAACUUCUAAUGCGAUAAUUUGAACAUCAUAAUUCAUUGUAAAGAUAUCACUAAUUACGAAGAUCUUAUUGUGCUAUAGGAAUAAAUAUUUAAUUAUGAGUUGAUGUGUACCUAAGCAUGAAUUGUAUUUUCCAGUGUGAGUUUGUGUGACUAAUCGUAACCCCAGUUUAUACAAUAGUAUGGUAUGUAGUUUAAAAAGUAUUUGGUAUGAAUUACCUUGAGCUUUAAAUCAGGAGACUUAUGAGAAAAAGUUUGCUACACAGAAAAGUCUGGUUGACUCGUUCUGUAUUUUGUCACGACCGAUGCAAAUUUGAAAUAUGUUAACCGACUUUAUUACUUCAGACAUUCUGUUUAUUUACAUUUUGAGAACGUCUGUAUGACAGGUGUCUCUGAUUGGGUGACAGAAUGCUUUUGACAUUGGAUUGGAGAGACAACUAAACAUUCCCAAAGUUUGCUUGACUCACAAUAUUUCUGCUAGCUUUUUUUUAGUACACACAACCACGAUAAUAGCGCGUGCAACGGAUUGGGUUUCAAAACUAUUAUUUGAAAGCCGUACCGUUGACUGAAGAAUAUACAGUUGCUCUAAUGGGCUUUGGUGUGACAAUCGAAAAUCGACGUGCGCUUGCGCCCCUUGAGUUGUUCGAACUGUAGAAUUGAGAACUUAUUGCAGAACAUGAGAGAGUUACCGAUUUCGACAUGAGGCUGGCUGCAUUCACCUUCCGAGUAACAGUUAUCGCAAUGGUAAGCCCACGCCAGUACUUAGCCUGUGUCUAGUUACAGACUUGUCGGCGAUACAAGAAAUUAAUAAGAGUAUUAAUUUCUUCCAAAAUUCGUAGCAAAACAGUGAUUUAAUUAAAGCAUAAGUACCCGAGAGAAGAAUGUAUACAUAGAUUAUAAAUAAUGUACGAUAUUAAUAUAUAUGAUCCAUUUAUGAUUAAUACCUGAUUCAUACAAUAAAUUUUAUAAUUUUCCAAGAGACAAACUAGAUUAUCUAAAAUCUUCAGGAAUAAUAUGAAAACAUCAGAAUUAUUCGUUUCGAAAUAGGAUUCUAUUCGACGACCGCUCGAUGUAUUCCAUAACAUUGAUGUUCAUAAUUAUUGCAACAACUUUUCAUUUGCUCUCUCGAUUUUGAAUUUUCGUAUGCAUAGAAGGAUUAUGCAUCAAGGUAUAAUCCGAGGUGGUUAUCGGUGAUUGUUGGAGGUGGUUG